AGUACACUGUACUUGCAAUAAACGUGAUAUAGUGUAUGUUGUGUAUGAAGCAAUAACAUCACACUCUAUCAAUAUUAGUCAAAUCACAAUUGGACAUGUUAUUUUGUCCUGACAAAUCAAAACUAUUUUCAUAUGCUAUGACAUGAAGGUGGUUUUACUUUCAAUGUUUACAUUAUCUUCUCAUAUCAUGCUGAUGUUUAUGUUAAAUGAAUCAACAACAUCAUCCAAUGCAGAAUGGACUAUGAAACGUGAUAUUUCAUUUACGAAACUAAGUACUAUAAAAAGAGCAACAGCAUAAUAUAGAAUCAGCCAUAGGUCGAACAUUUGCUGGAACUUUAAAGAGGGCCCACUCAUCUAAGGUGCUGGGAUCCUCUCACCAGAGUUAUGUCCAUUGGGCAGAUCAAAAACUUUGAUUGCGAGUUUGAAUCCCAUUUCGUUAUGAAAUUAUACCUGUUCUCGUGGUUUUCACCAAAGUGGUCAACACAUGCACCUACUGGCCCACACAUCAAAGGUGCUAGGAUUCUUUCACCAGAGUUAUGACCCUUGGGCACAUCAAAAACAUUGAUUGCAGGUUUGAAUCCCAUUUCGCUAUGAUAUAAAACCUGUGCUCGUGGGUUUCUCCAAAGUGGUCAACACCUGAGGCCUCCAUCAAUUUGGACAUACCACGAUGUAACUGAAUGCUGUUAUUAGUGGUGUUAAUCACAAAUCACUAAAUAGAGACUAUGGUUCAGCAGUCCUGUUCAAGCACCACUUUGUUGGUCUGAAAUUUUAUAACAUAGAUAAGAUUUAUCUUUGAUUAUUACCUUUCUCAAAAUGAGGAAAUGUUUCAGUUUCACAACAACAUUAAUGGCUGCUGGAACUAGUCUGGCCCUUGUACCAUGGAUCCUAGGGUCCAUGGAGCACAGUCUACACUGUGUAGCCUUCAGAUGCAUUCAUCAUUAUAUUAUUUCCCUUUUUUCUGGUUUUAUCAUUUAGUCAAGAUUGUAAAAUGGUGCUUAUGUUUUUAUUGUGGUAUCUGUUUGUUUUGUUUCAGAGAUUUGGGUGUUCAGUUUUUUAAUGACAUGUAUUUUGUUUCCACAGUCAAUUAUUAUGUACUUACCAUAUAUUACCGUAGAUAAGACGAAUUUUGAGGACGAAAAAAAAUCUGUAAGAGGCGGUCAGCUUAUCUACAGGUUACACUUUCGGUAAUCCUAAUCUGGUCAUUCCUGAGAUUCAAAUAUUCCAUAGAAAGCUGGCCAUAUCAUAUUGUAUUUUGAUGUUAGGUCAGUUCUGUGCUGUGAGUACCGUACAUGACAUGACAUGACAUACUCACAUUGCUUGAUCAACCAGGACAGGUUCUGAGGUUGUUUGUAUCCCAGCACCUAUUUCAAAUAUAGAUGUUGUAGGUCAUUGUUCCGUUUAGUCUGCAGACAAAUUUUGAAUCUUUCUAUCUUAUUGUUAGCAGUACAUCAAAAACAUGCUUUGAGCUUAAUCAUAUCCACCCUUAUAAUACAGCAUGUCCAUAGAAAUAUACAUUUGCCUGUCCUGGUUCUCGUAGCGUACAAUUCAUGGACCUUAUUAGAGAUUAUUAUCUGUGAAUGUUAUUGCAGCUGAACUGAAAUUGAUUGUGAUAAUGGGCACACACACACACACACACACACACACACACAUUUAUUAUUGUCAAUAUUAUCAACAUGACAAUUUUGAAUUUGAUUAUCACACAUCAAAACAUUUGUAUUAAAGUGAUAUUUUCAAACGUGUAUUUUCAUUCUAAAUUUCAAAUCAUAUGUUCAUGAUCAAGGUCUGAAUAUUCAGGAUGAAGAAUAUUUUAGAGCUGUACAUUAUUUACAAAAAAAUAUGAACUUUCUCGUUCUUCUGCCAAGUGUAGGGCGCACCAAAGUUUUACCAGACACACAAUGCUACUUUCUUUAGCCAUAAAAUCCAUAAAACACCAUCCACUUGAAAUCUCAUUGUACACGAAAGAGUGUUGAUGUUGGAAUGAUUCAAAGUGAUGAACCUGAAGCAUGAUCCAUCAGGAAAUUCAGUUCCAAUAAUAAAAGCAAUCUAUACUCAGAGUUACAGAGUAACAUCAUGAUUCUAUUAUAUAUUUGCUUUUUUACAGAAGACAUGCUGCCACCUCAGAAUAUAUUGACGUUGACAUUGUUAUGAAAAAAGCAAAUGGAUGUAGCAGACAGUUUUAAUCAAAUAUUCAGAAGAUAAACCUUGGUAUAUUAGCAUACUCCAACAGAAAGCCAGAGUUAAUGGAGGUCCCAUGACAGAACAGGUAUUGGAUGAAACAAAGUAUUGGCUAAAAAAUCAACUUUCCAUUCCAUCAUGUGGAUAUGUCUGUUUGUACAAAAUUCAGAUGCCUGACAUGUUUUGGUCAGACAUUUUCCCAACAAUGAAUCUGUAGUCUGUUUAGCAGGUUGAUAUGUUUUGCUAUGAAAGUAACCUCCAUGUAAGACACUGAAAUUAUUACUGCCUGUUUUCCCAUUUCGUUCAUGAUUACAUGGGAGUUAAUUUCUCUGCCGUUAUUUAUGUGUGAUGGUGGAUGUGUCAAUAUUGAUAAACAUGUAAACAAUCUUAUGCAAUGGCAGAUUGUUGUCAUCUAUCGUCCAUUUGUUUCUCUGACCAAUGAUGUAAAUAAAGCAACAGUUGAUGGCAGUUGUGAUACUAUUAUCCCUAGGAAAUGUUGAGCAGCAUACACAAAUUGUGAUAUAUAUUCCAACAUUACCUUCAACACACUAAGAAAGCAGCUUGAUCUGAACAUUAUCAUUCAGAAUAUUCGUCCACUGCUGAUAAUAGCUGUUGAAUGGUACAUAUAUGCAUAUAUUUUCAUCAUGGAUCUUGUCAACAUUUCAGAAUAUAUUUGAAUUUUAUUGUGUUGUUUCACUUUGCAGAAUAAAAUUUUAACUAUUG